rnacentral:ncRNA from 1 species
CAACCUCAACUCAUAUGGGACUACUCCCUGAAUUUAAGCAUAUUAAUUAGGGGAGGAAAAGAAACUAACAAGGAUUUUCUUAGUAGCGGCGAGCGAAAAGAAAUCAGUUCAGCACUAAGUCACUUUGUCUAUAUGGCAAAUGUGAGAUGCAGUGUACGGAACAUCAACAUUCUAGUAUGAGAAGUUAACGAUUUAAGUCCUUCUUAAAUGAGGCCAUUUACCCAUAGAGGGUGCCAGGCCCGUAUAACGUUAAUGAUUACUAGAUGGUGUUUCCAAAGAGUCGUGUUGCUUGAUAGUGCAGCACUAAGUGGGUGGUAAACUCCAUCUAAAACUAAAUAUAACCAUGAGACCGAUAGUAAACAAGUACCGUGAGGGAAAGUUGAAAAGAACUCUGAAUAGAGAGUUAAAUAGUACGUGAAACUGCUUAGAGGUUAAGCCCGAUGAACCUGAAUAUCCGUUAUGGAAAAUUCAUCAUUAGAAUUGUAAUAUUUUAAACAAUAUUAUAAUAAUAGUGUGCAUUUUUUCCAUAUAAGGACAUUGUAAUCUAUUAGCAUAAAUAUUUAUCAUAAAAUUAUGUCUGAUUGCUUAUUUGAAUUAUAUGCUUGGCAUUUUAACAUAAAAUAAAAGAUAUAAAUUUGAUAAAGUGCUGAUAGAUUUAUAUGAUUACAGUGCGUUAAUUUUUCGGAAUUAUAUAAUGGCAUAAUUAUCAUUGAUAUUUGUGUUUAUUAUAUGCAUUUGUAUGAUUAACAAUGCGAAAGAUUUCAGGAAACCUUUCGG